UUUGAUUCUGGCUCAGGAUGAACGCUGGCGGCGUGCCUAAUACAUGCAAGUCGAACGAGGUAGCAAUACCGAGUGGCGAACGGGUGAGUAACACGUAGGUAACCUGCCCUUAAGCUUGGGAUACCCAGAGGAAACUUUGGCUAAUACCGGAUAACAACAGAGAAGGCAUCUUCUUUGCUUGAAAGGCCCCUUCAAGGGUCACUUAAGGAUGGACCUGCGGCGCAUUAGCUAGUUGGUGAGAUAACAGCCCACCAAGGCGAGGAUGCGUAGCCGAACUGAGAGGUUGAUCGGCCACAUUGGAACUGAGACACGGUCCAAACUCCUACGGGAGGCAGCAGUAAGGAGUUUUCGGCAAUGGGGGAAACCCUGACCGAGCAACGCCGCGUGAGCGAUGACGGCCCUAUGGGGUUGUAAAGCUCUGUUGUAAGCCAUGAAUGGUAGCUUGAGGAAAUGCAAGCUAUUUGACGACAGCUUACCAGAAAGCCACGGCUAACUACGUGCCAGCCGCCGC
rnacentral:rRNA from 1 species